rnacentral:lncRNA from 1 species
GAAUAUAUGAUCAGGUGGCUGAGAGGGCAAGUAUUUCCCUUGUACUUUUCAAAGUCGGGGACCUUGAACUUCUCAGGGAUCUUCACAUUAGGGACCAAGCAGAGUUCGACAGCAGACUUGCCAAAAAGGUCCUUUCCUCGAAGAGUCUUCAAUUCCUUGCGGAGUUCAAGAAAUUGAUCAUCAAUAGUGUCCAUCUUUUCAUAGACAUCUG